UUCUAAGAAAAAGAAUUAUAUAGAAUUGACAUGGAAGAAUAAUAACGUGAACGAAUGAGAUGUAGCUAUACGAAAUCCUGAAAGAGUGACGGAGCCCGAGAAAAGUUUUUGUCCUUAUCAGAAUCUCGCUUUAAUUUGUCUGCCCCGUGAGGUCACGGGGCAGACGAACUUUGUGGAGUAAACUUCAUGUGGACUAAAAUUUGUUUCUUAAAGUAUAAAUUGUGUUCUUUGUUCUUAAUUAAGUGUAAUAAUUAUUUCUUUAGAUAUUUAAAAUGGUGAAUUGUAGUAUUUUGGGCUGCAAAAGCCGCACUGACCGAAAAUGUGAAAACAUAACCUUUCAUACUUUUCCACGAGAUGUCUUUAUUAAUAAAAUAUGGACAAAGGUGACAGGAAGAGACAGGAAGACAGGAAGACAAAGGUGGCCUUCAUUAUCCGUCACCGUCAGUUAUUAAAUUAUGUGAAAUAGCGGAGGAAAUAUUU
rnacentral:lncRNA from 1 species